rnacentral:rRNA from 1 species
AGUGAACGCUGGCGGUAGGCCUAACACAUGCAAGUCGAACGGCAGCACAGUAAGAGCUUGCUCUUACGGGUGGCGAGUGGCGGACGGGUGAGGAAUACAUCGGAAUCUACUUUUUCGUGGGGGAUAACGUAGGGAAACUUACGCUAAUACCGCAUACGACCUACGGGUGAAAGCAGGGGAUCUUCGGACCUUGCGCGAUUGAAUGAGCCGAUGUCGGAUUAGCUAGUUGGCGGGGUAAAGGCCCACCAAGGCGACGAUCCGUAGCUGGUCUGAGAGGAUGAUCAGCCACACUGGAACUGGGACACGGUCCAGACUCCUACGGGAGGCAGCAGUGGGGAAUAUUGGACAAUGGGCGCAAGCCUGAUCCAGCCAUACCGCGUGGGUGAAGAAGGCCUUCGGGUUGUAAAGCCCUUUUGUUGGGAAAGAAAAGCAGCAGGUUAAUACCCCGCUGUUCUGACGGUACCCAAAGAAUAAACACCGGCUAACUUCGU